rnacentral:lncRNA from 1 species
UGCCUGCACAAUACAACAAGCAUUAUAUUGUUAAGAUCCAUCCAUCAAGAACAAAUAACCGAAAACGGGCAACACUCAACUAACCAGAAGAUUGAAAUGAAACAAUAUACAAAGGACACAAUUUAAAACCUACAUAGAUAAUUUCUUGAGAGAAAGAAAUAGCAGAUUGAUCAGAGUACACAAAUAACCACGCACAAAGCUGGCAGUAUCAUAAAACUGAGAUCAUGGUGAAGGUACCUUCAGCUGUCUUCUGGUAGAGGGUCUCCUCAAAGAGGAUCACUCCACUAAGGUACUGGAGGACACCAGGGGCAGUGAAGAGGAGCUCACGAAGAGCACGCCUGUUCUCUUCAACAUUCUCAACUUUGAUGCUGUCAAAACGUUUUCCAAUAGUGCCAGUGGACUCAUCAGCAGCUAGAAUACCCUUUCCAGGGGUGCCAAUGUAGGCAGCAUUCUUAAUGAGCUCAUCUGCAAGGCAUCCAGAAUUCAGUCAACGGAAUCCACAAAAUCAUAAACAUAAAUAUUGAAACAUAACUCUACAAUAAAAUAUUUAAAAAAAACAAACAAACAAACAAACAAACAAGUAAUCUUAAACAAACUUCCGAGCUAUCAAAAACUUAAUCAAAAGGCCAUUGUUCAAACAUCAAAUUGUAAUCAACGCAAGAAGACUAUAACAAGUGGAUCAUCAACGAUAUGAAGCAUACAUCAUUCUACGAACCCUGAAACAUCAAAGGAUCUAGAGGCAGAACUAAACAAAGUUCUCCAGGACUAGAAUACUCCACAAAACAGAUCAUAAAUCCAAUAAGAUCGAACCUAACAGUUCCAACAGUCAAACAAACUAAGCUAUCAGUAACCGUAACAUGCUACGACGAACUGAUUCCAACUAUGAAAAGUCAAACACAAACACAGGCAAAGCAUGCAUAAAAGUCAGAUCUAAAACUCGACAGUAACAUGAACAGAUCGCUUUCACUUACAAACUCAAUCGAACAAAAACACAACAGAUCGCAAACAUAACUCGGAUGACUAUACGAUACUGAAACAAGGACUAUCUCAUAAAUCAAAAUCUGAAAACAUGAACACAAAACAGAUCUACACAAAACAUCGAAGCAGAUAUACAAACAGAGCAAAACAGAAGAGUAGAAUCUACGAAACAAAUGAAAUACGGAUCGAAGAACAAGAAGAAGAUUCAAAUUACCAGCGUAUUUGCCUCUGUAAGCAGUCAUGGUUGGUUGGUACUAAGCUUGGAGAGAGAGAGAGGGAGGGUUUGGUCUGAGAAAUCGAGAGAGACGAAAGAGAAGAAAUAUGGAGAGAGUGAAGGGUGGGUGAGCCCUUUUUAAGAAGAGAAAAUGAUGCGAAAAAGGGCCCCCUCCAAGUAUGAGUCAGCCACUAUUUUCGCUUGGCUUCUUUCCCACGUACUUUUUUUUUCUUCUCCACGUAACUAUGUCAGUUUACUUUUUUGCCCCCACCCACCUCUCAAUUGAGCCCAUAUUCAUUCCCUGUUUUUUAAAUUUUGCAAUCAGCUCUUUGAUUUUGUAAUCCGGAUUCAUAAAUGUAAAACAUCUUUUGCGAAGAUUUUUUUUGUUUUACUUUUCCUUAUUGCCAAAGUAAAAAUAUCAUCAAGACAUCAAUCAUCGUCUGAAGGCAGCAUAUUUGAGAGCUGAGAAUUUUGAUUUUCUAAAUUUAUUACAGUAAUGUCUAACGCUAUUGAGAGCCGUUACCAUCUAUAAUCUUGUUCUAACCACAUUUAAAUUAUUGAUGAAUUACAAUGAAUUACAUUUUCUAUAUAUGUUCGAAACUAUAUAAAGACAAGGUGGUUCUCUAUUCAAUGCAUAUAUUAAUAUUUGGUUAUAUUUGUCGAUAUGUAGAGUCGAAAUCUUUUAUUUUAUUUUAAGUUUUAAAUUAGAUAUUUUAGAGUUGGGAAAAAAAGCCGAAAAUGGUAAUUAGGGAUGGCGGUUGAGGGGCUCUAAAAGUGUCACAAAACAAGCAGCCGUCCCGUGAUUAGGUAGGAUGACACGGGGGGAGCGGUCAAGACUCGAGAUUUUGAUGGCAAAGAAAACAAAGGCAAGAAGCAGCCAACCAAAUCCUGUGGGGUUUGAAAGCAACUCUCUUCUCGGUUUGGUACUUCUAUCACAGAUUUAGCUUCAUGCUCUUUUUUGUGUUUUUUAUUUUAACAAAGCAUUCUGGGUUUCAAGAUAAUUAGCCUGAAGUUCUAGGUUUGCCAAUUGCCAUUAUGUUUGGCACACCAAAUGACCAAACGGUUCCAACUGUUUUUCUUCCCCAGCUUGCUCUCUAUAUCUCCAACCUGGAUAUCAGAUGCAGACUCAUGUCAAUAAUGUAAAAUAGGUAAUGAGUUAGGGGUUCAAUUGAAUGGCAUUAAUUGUGUCUACAGCUUGUGUAGAGUUGGUAGUUUUGAUUGUAGGCUGGCUACUCAAUCUAACAUGAACGAAUGAAUGACAUUUCCAAUGGACUUUGUUUGUUUUGUUCUUACAAACACCCAACAAAUUACUUUGGAAUAGCCACUGAAUAAGUGAAAUGCCUUGUAAAGUUGUAAAUACAGAUGCUUGUUAGAAAAGUUGGCAAAUCAUUGUUCCAAAAGUAGAUGAGUACAACUAGUUAAGAAUUAACGACGUAAUUUUAUUUACUGUGAUCAUUUAAUUUACUAAAUGAUCGAACAUUUUCAAAAUUAAAAUUCAAAGCGAUACAAAAUUGAAUCAAAAUUUAUACAAAUUAGAUUCAAUUGUCAAUUAUGUAUGCUAUCAUGUUGAAUUUGGUUGAAGUGUUGAACAUAAUUGAUAUCUUCAUUAAAGAGCUUUGCAGCGUCAAAGGGGGAUGUACUACAACAUGCUUCAUGUUAGUUCUUCCACUUCUUUGUCGCCAAUAUAUUUUUUUUCAAUUACUUACAAGUCAACUGUCAACCCAAUAAUCUUAGUUAUAAAUCAUUCAACCAAACUUUCAACAUUUAUAUUUAUAUUCAACCAACGCCAGCUUCAAACUAGCAUCAGUUUAAAUCAUGCCCCACAUUUUCUUUUAAUUUCUUGUCACGCUGAUUUCCUAUAUUAUUAAAAAUGACAAAUUAUUUGAAAUAAAAAACACGGCAAACAUGGCAUGAGAGCAUUCCUCAUUAGGUCCUUGCCACCCUAGCUAUAAGACCCAAGAAAAGCUAUAAACAAAAUUAGUUGACGUUUUAUUUUAUAAUUAUACAUUCAUGAAUUGAUUUUGUCAUAAGAACAUUGCUAGCAAUCUACUCCCAAUCUUCCUAAUUUGUAUACAUUGCUGGUCGAUCGGUUUGGUAUAGAUUGGUAGUUUUUUGUAUCAAAGUUUUUAUUAAAGAAAUGAUCGAGACGUCUUUUCCAACGUUAUGACUGUCUUCGGUAGUUUUUUUUUCUACAUGAAUCAUGAAAUACCAGGGGCAGAGCUACCAUGAGAUGUGAACCCCCCCCCCCCCCCCACGGGAAUAUAUUCAUGCGUUCAUAAACAGAAAACUAAUAGUUUAAGAAGGAAUUACUGGCCCCAACAUUAAAAUAUAGAGAUAAUUAAAAUAACAUACUAUUAACUACUUACUUAUUAUUCAUUGAUCAUAUAUUAAAAAUUUUUUUUUCAUGAUAUGAUAACGGUAAAUCAUGUUAUACUAAAUCUCAACCCCUCCUAACUUUAAAUUCUAGCUCCGCCACUGUGAAAUACGGUUGCAAUUUAAAGAAAGUAAAUUCAGAGGUAGUUGAUGUAAAUAUUCGGAUCGAUAUUGUAUAUAAUUUUUUUUUUCAACAGUUAAUUUCAUAUAUUUAUCCAAACAAAAAAAAAUGUUUGAAGAAAUAAUGCUUGAAUUAGAAUUACGACAAAUAAUGUGUGUUAUAUUUCUCCCGUCCCUACAAUCACCACCAUGUAUGGCAAGUUACCUUCACAUCUAACAUGGAGUGUAUAAGAAUAAGAUCGAGGUUUGGAUGUUCGAAGUUGAGGCUUCACCUACCUCUCUUCAUCUCUCUUUCUCUUCCUCUUCAAACUAGUUGAGGAGGCAGGUGGCAUGGAGUUAGCCCACAAUGAAAUAAAGAAAGAAACCAAACAAACAAGUGAUGCGUGGAUCCAACGCAAAUUUUGUAGAACAAUGAAGAAGAAGACAGUCAGGUCCUGCAUAAGCCUAAGUUUGAAUAUUCUUUUAUUAUUAUUCUGGAUCCAAUCUUUGUGUAAUAUAUAUCUAUAUAUAUUCGAGUUCGUUCCGAUCUGUUUUUCUUCUCUGCUCACAUGGCAAUGUGACUGGCGCUGCUUCUACUAAUAGUAGCAGUAGCAGCAGUGAUCGAAAUAUUAAAUAAUGGAUGUCUUGCUCUCUUUUUUUUUUUUUUUUUUGAGUAAAACCUAUCUAACGGUGAACGAUAAGUACGUUUUAAAAUAAAUCACUAAUGGGCAUAUGCUUCAUCCACGCUGUAAAUGUAAACAUGAUUCAUCAUAAUAGCAGCUUAUUCUUUUGUUCUUCUUCUCAUUUUUUCCUAGUUUAUAGCUAUUUUUAACGGCGUAGGCAUAUAGGUUUUCCGAGAGAUCGCCGGAGGCGGCGGUCUACCAUCCCUAGCAACGAGAGAGAGAGAGAGAGAGAGAGAGAGAGAGAGAGAGAGAGAGAGAGAGAGAGUAGANNNNNNNNNNNNNNNNNNNNGAGAGAGAGAGAGAGUUUUAGUUAGUUUUACUAAUAAUAGUUGAGUUUUCAAGAUUUGCCAAAAUAAACAUCUUAAAAGAGGUAUAAUACGUAAAAUAAGUCAAUUUUUUCUCAAACAAAAAAGUAAAACAUCCACAACAAAAUUAGUUUCUCUCAACACAUGAAUCUAGAAUACACCUAGUGAUGCCUUAUUAUAGUUGUUGCAGUAGAGGUUCUUUUAUUUCCUCCCAACUCUGCUCAUAUAGAGGUAGAUAGAGGUAAUGUAAUGUCUCUAUUGUGAUAUAUUCUGAAUUGCAUAGAAACUAAAAAUCUGUGCCAGAGUGUGGACAUUCCUUGGUCAAUCCAACUGUAUCAAACAGAUUCGCAAUUGUGUCAUCGAAACUGUCCAUUUCUUUGAUAACAAUGGAGGAAUAAAUAGUCUUCCAUUUUACUUCAGGACAUAUAUGCAUAAAGGAGAGAUAUGGCCUAAUGGACAAGGGUGACAACAUUCCAGAGUGUGAGAGCAAAAGCUCCCAAAAGCCAAACAAAAAAAAAAUCUGACCAAAGCUUCUUCAGUUGUGUAAGAGACUAAUAGGAUGUGCUAUAAAGUUGGUUGCAAUUUAAACCUUUUCGCAAACAGAACGCCGGUACCUCAAUUUUCUCCAUACACGCACUGAAGAGGUCUGGUGACGAAUAUGAGAUGCAAUGCAAUAUAAGACAUCAAAAUCAAAGAUUAACCAAAAUUACCUAACACACGAGUAGUUCUCCAACUAAACCAAAUUAAGGGGUAAAUAACAACUCUCUUUGCUUGCUAAUAUUCCUCAAGCUUAUAUCAGACUAGCAUCUCAUCCCGAGUUUAUAGAGAAAAUGGUUUUCCCAAAAGGACCGACCUAUACUAGGACAGAAGACAUAGAGAGAACAAGCUACCAAACAAUGACAGAAGAGACAUAGAGAGUACAUGCUACCAAACAGCUCGAUUAAUACUUGUAGUCCUUGACAUGAAGACUCUCUGCAGCACCCUCACCAAGCUUGGCAUCGCCCUUGUAUGUUCCCAAGGUUGCCUCUGAGUUGGCCUUGGCCCUUGUGAGGAGAGCCUCCUGGGCAGCCUUGACAUUCUCUUUCUUACCUGACCAAGCCUUGAGAGUGCUGGCCUGAAGAGCACGGCCAAAAGAGAAGGAAAGAGUCCAUGGCUUCUUUCCCUUGAGCUGGUUCAUGGCGUUAAGGUUGAGGGUAGCCUCCUCCUCACUCUGUCCACCAGACAAGAACACCACAGCAGGGACCGCCGCAGGGGUAGUGCGCUGCAAGGCACGAACUGUGUACUCAGCAAUCACUUCUGGUGAAGCCUUCUUGGCUUCAGAUCCAGGAGUGACCAUGUUGGGCUUCAAGAGAGUUCCUUCAAGAAGGACGUGGUGGUCAUUGAGAGCCUUGUAACAUGCAGCAAGGACGCGCUCAGUCACAUCAGCGCACUUGUUGAUGUCAUGGGGUCCAUCAACAAGGAUCUCUGGCUCAACAAUGGGUACCAAGCCAUUCUCCUGGCAGAUGAUAGCAUAACGUGCCAAUCCAUUAGCAUUCUCAUUGAUGGACAGCUGAGAUGGCUCAUUGGGACCAAUCUUGAGCACAGCACGCCAUUUGGCAAACCGGGCACCAGCUUCGUAGUACUUUGCGCAGCGUGCACCAAGGCCAUCCAGACCCUGGGUUGUGGUCUCACUAUUGGUACCAGCAAGCUCAACAACACCCUUGUCAACCUUAAUGCCAGGGAGAACACCACCUUCCUUCAAGACCUCAACGAAUGGUUUGCCUGCAACAUUCAUGGAUCAUCAAUAAGGCAACGGCUCCAGGAUAUUUAGGGAACCAAUAUGUAACUAAGACCAUAAUCCAUAUAAACUCUUAAUACUUAAAGCAACAUUCAAUUGAACUGAAGAUUUAUAGAUUAGAGAUGCAAUUACAAGUGGCGAAUUAUAUUGCAAAGGUAACCGAUGGUAAGCAUUGAAGAACUUGGCAAUAAAACAACAACAUUACAAAGAGGAGUUGUCAAAUACCUUCAGCUGUCUUCUGGUAGAGGGUCUCCUCAAAGAGGAUCACUCCACUAAGGUAUUGGAGUACACCAGGGGCAGUGAAGAGGAGCUCACGAAGAGCGCGCCUGUUUUCCUCAACAUUCUCAACUUUGAUGCUGUCGAAACGUUUUCCAAUGGUGCCAGUAGACUCAUCAGCAGCUAGAAUACCCUUUCCAGGGGUGCCAAUGUAGGCAGCAUUCUUAAUGAGCUCAUCUGGAACAAACAAAAAAUUCGGUACCCACAAAUGAUAAACUAAUCA